rnacentral:rRNA from 1 species
GACGAACGCUGGCGGCGUGCCUAAUACAUGCAAGUAGAACGCACAGUUUAUACCGUAGCUUGCUACACCAUAGACUGUGAGUUGCGAACGGGUGAGUAACGCGUAGGUAACCUGCCUGGUAGCGGGGGAUAACUAUUGGAAACGAUAGCUAAUACCGCAUAAUAUUAAUUAUUGCAUGAUAAUUAAUUGAAAGGUGCAAUUGCACCACUACAAGAUGGACCUGCGUUGUAUUAGCUAGUAGGUGAGGUAACGGCUCACCUAGGCGACGAUACAUAGCCGACCUGAGAGGGUGAUCGGCCACACUGGGACUGAGACACGGCCCAGACUCCUACGGGAGGCAGCAGUAGGGAAUCUUCGGCAAUGGACGAAAGUCUGACCGAGCAACGCCGCGUGAGUGAAGAAGGUUUUCGGAUCGUAAAGCUCUGUUGUAAGAGAAGAACGGGUGUGAGAGUGGAAAGUUCACACUGUGACGGUAGCUUACCAGAAAGGGACGGCUAACUACGUG